UCAGCCACGUCUAGAGUCUCGGAGACAAGCUUCUCUAACGAGCCAAAACAGGAACAGGGCUGGAAAAUCAGUGUGAGGGCGAGCGAACCUCCCCUCGCUGCCUCUUCCCCACUCCCGGCUUAGGUCCCCUGGGCUUCGCACUGUUGUUUCCAGCUCGAGGAAAAGCCCCUGUCCCUUCAGAUCGAGAUAAGUGAACCAAGACAGACGGUUUCCGUUCAGCACCUCGGACAGAAUACGCAACAAAAAAUGGCUCCGAUCUCUACCAGCCGGGAAGAAUUUGAUGAAAUCCCCACAGUGGUGGGGAUCUUCAGUGCGUUUGGCCUGGUCUUCACAGUCUCUCUGUUUGCAUGGAUAUGCUGUCAGAGAAAGUCAUCCAAACCUAGCAAGACUCCUCCAUAUAAGUUUGUACAUGUGCUAAAGGGAGUUGACAUUUACCCUGAAAGCCUGAACAGCAAAAAGAAGUUCGGAGCCGAUGAGAAAAAUGAAGUAAAGAAUAAAUCAGCUGUGCCAAAGAAUUCAUUGCAUCUUGAUCUUGAGAAGAGAGAUCUAAAUGGCAAUUUUCCCAAAACAAAUCUCAAAGCUGGCAGUCCUGACCUGGAGAGCGUGACCCCAAAACUCUCUUCAGAAGGGGGAAAAGAGGUAGUUUCCCCCGAUAGCUUAAAGUCCAGCACUUCUGUUACUUCAGAUGAGAAACAGGAGAAGCUGGGGACCCUCUUCUUCUCCUUAGAGUACAACUUUGAAAGGAAAGCGUUUGUGGUAAAUAUUAAGGAAGCCCGUGGUUUGCCGGCCAUGGAUGACCAGUCAAUGACCUCUGACCCAUACAUCAAAAUGAUGAUUCUUCCAGAGAAGAAGCAUAAAGUAAAAACAAGGGUCCUGAGAAAGACCUUGGACCCAGCUUUCGAUGAGACCUUCACAUUUUAUGGAAUACCCUACACCCAGAUCCAGGAGCUGGCCUUGCACUUCACAGUCUUGAGUUUUGACAGGUUUUCAAGAGAUGAUGUCAUUGGAGAAGUCCUGAUUCCUCUGGCAGGAAUUGAAUUAACUGGUGGAGAAAUGUUAAUGAACAGAGAGAUUACCAAGAGAAAUGUUAGGAAAUCUUCAGGACGGGGUGAGUUAUUGAUCUCUCUCUGCUAUCAGUCCACCACAAAUACUCUUACUGUGGUGGUUUUAAAAGCUCGGCACCUGCCUAAAUCUGAUGUGUCUGGACUUUCAGAUCCCUAUGUCAAAGUGAACCUGUACCAUGCCAAAAAGAGAAUCUCUAAAAAGAAGACGCAUGUGAAGAAAUGCACCCCCAAUGCAGUGUUCAAUGAACUCUUUGUCUUUGACAUUCCUUGUGAGGGCCUAGAAGAGAUAAGUGUUGAAUUUCUGGUUUUGGAUUCUGAAAGGGGAUCCCGGAAUGAGGUGAUUGGGAGGUUGGUCCUGGGAGCGGCAGCAGACGGGGCCAGUGGCGAGCACUGGAAAGAGAUCUGUGACUAUCCCAGGAGGCAGAUCGCCAAGUGGCACGCGCUCUGCGAUGGUUAGCACCCGAGCUGUGAUGAAUUGGAACUUAACGAUUUUUACUAGUCAAGGAGAAAUUUUCCUUUUUUCCCCUGACACGCUAAUUUGUCUUGAGCUCGUGUCUGUGGACCAGUUUAUAAACUUGUAUCUUGUACUGCUUUCCAGUGCCAGGGCUCUGUGAUUACUUGGAGAGAAUUUACUUGAGGUAAUAUCACUGUAUUUGAGUGUUUAGAAAAGCAAAAGUGAAACUCAGGUACAGUUGAAUUUUAAAUAUGCAAGUUAGAAAUGAAGUCUACUGAAAACUUUACAUUUUGAGUCAGGUUUUGUGUCAGUGCUCCAGCAAUUUUUGAGAAUGUGUUUGAUAUCACAGUGUUUGUAAAAUCUAUGACAAUACAUUUUCCAAACAACAUAUACAUACUUUUUAUGAUUAUGCUGAAAGUAGGAAAUGUUUUACACUCUGUAUACAAAAAGUGAAAUCAACCUCUCUUUUGAGCUUUAAGAUGAUUUUGGAAUUAGACGAGACUAUUCUCCAAUCAUUGUUUUCAUGCCAUCACAGAGUCACGUCAUAGCAUCUUGGUCCACUCAGCAUUUCUGUUAAAUAAACUGUAGUCAGUACAUGGUUUGGGUAAAUCAUAUGGCCUUUUUAUGUUUCUAUAUUUGGUAUCAUGAGCCAAGAAAUAUAAUAUAUUUUGAAGCCCUUAAACAUUAAAAAAAGUAAACCCUAAGUAUCCUUCACAGUUGCCAGAAGUUAAUGAUGGUACCAAAAGAAGUAUGGUCGUUGGAGGAGGGACAAUAAAGCCAACAGCAGAUAAUUACAAGAUGACAAUAACUAAUUUGUAAAUAGGUUUUUUUUUAAUUUAAAGUGUUUUUCAUUGUGAAAAGUCAAGUAAAACUAUUUGCAAUUACUGUUAAGUAAAAAAAGAAGAAAAACUAGAACAGGACUGAAGUAGGCAGAGGCACAGUGAUCGCAUUAUCUUCUGAAAAUCCUGUUUUAUAUGAUAUUACAAUAUCAGUGUGAUCUUGAAUUCUGUUACAAAUUCUGCACUGUAUUAAACAUAUAAAUUAAUUGUUUGUCUUAUUAGCCAAUCUAACCACUCUAGUGGGGAGAUGUCCAUGUUUGAAGAACUGUGUAACUUAGUAACUGAUUUGUUCUGAUGUUGUAACUUAAUAGAAGUGGUUUGGAAGGAAGCAUGGUGUAUGAGAUGGUGUCUGUUCUUUUGUGCCAGCUCUGUAUGAUGUUUGUAAGAUCAUGUUUAUAAAACAUGAAUAAAUGGCUGCUUUUGCCCAACGCAUUUCAACUCAAA